UUGUGAUUAGUCAGUGCUGGAAACUUUAUUUUCAGAUUUAAUCUUUAAAUGUUAUUUAGUUACUGUCAAUAUUUAUAUUUAACUUUGUUAAGUAUUCAGAUAUAAUUCAGAUAUAAUUUAGAUAUAAAUGAUAUCCCCUAAAUUUCUGUGGCCAUAUGUUGCUCUGGUUUUUCUGCUGUGUAUGACACACCAUUUGACCUCUGCCGUACACACUGCAGUCAUUGGUAACUGGCUGCCAACGGAUACUCUCCUUCUAAGCCAGGAUGUAUUCGUUAAAGGGAGAAAAAAGGGAAACAUCGCACACAAGUUUUAUUAUACACAAAAGACCGAUCCGAAAGUGAUCAGCGCCAUUAUACUAAGGAACAAUCAUAAGUCUGCGUUUGGAUCCGACGGAGUUCUUCUCGAAGGUGGGCCAAACAAUAUUUACUGUGCCAUUCGACUGUCGGCAAGAAAAAAUUAUAAUAUCGACUACAAUAUUAAAAUAUAUAGCAAUAACAGAAAUCUUGAAAAACCCUAAAAAAGAUAACCUAUCUACAAAUGAAAAAUUAUAUGAAUUAAAAACUAACAAUAUGUGAGCACA